CUGCACGAGUUCAUGUCUGUCAUUCACACAUGCAAAUUGUGAUGCCUGCUGCUUGCGACAGCUUUGCCCCUGUUCUUCUUCUACUCCGGCAAGAUGGAUUCAAACUUGGUUCUGAAAAGCACACCACAGAGGUCACCGUGAAGAAGUCUGGAAGCCUGCUUAUAAAUUCUGGGAUACAAGGAUACUCCCUGCUAAAGACAACUCAGAUGAGAGUCUGGAAUGUUCCAUCCAAAUAGUUUAAUCAGAAACUGCACUGGCAAAGGUCUAGAGGAUGUAGAGGAGCUCCAGUUUGAUCCUAAGGAUGGCAUUGCUUUUUUUCUUCUUAUGCUCCAGUUUGCAGCAGCAUCUCCGACACCCUCUCGACGAAUUGCAGGUAGAUUGUAGCUGAGGAUGCGGCGAUGACCACCAAGGUAUGCCCUUCUCUCCUUGCCCUUCAUGCUGGCUUCAACAAGGCCGAAAGAUCUUCAGUCUUUUACAAGGUCAACCCCGCCUUCCUUGCAAUCAAUCUGCUGGCGACAGUAGAAAUUAACAGUCCUUUGUAUGUGUUUCUACAUGGUGGAUAUACGUGCAGGACCGGAGUGCAUGCUCGGUGGCAGAAGCAUCAGGGUGCUCCACGCUCAACAUCUUCUCAGCAUAGCUGCUCGAUCAGUAGUUUUGAUUGAUCUAUUUGAUAAUUUAAGCCAUCCAGUUGAUGUUCUUGGUUCGCUCAUGCUCUUUUCUUAUGUUGUUGUUUAAUCACUAUUGGCUUGGAUAUUCUCUAUAGCAUCUCAACAAUUCACUGCAAUUGGCCAGGUUAUUCUGUA